rnacentral:rRNA from 1 species
GACGAACGCUGGCGGCGUGCUUAACACAUGCAAGUCGAACGGAAAGGCCCUGCUUUUGUGGGGUGCUCGAGUGGCGAACGGGUGAGUAACACGUGAGUAACCUGCCCUUGACUUUGGGAUAACUUCAGGAAACUGGGGCUAAUACCGGAUAGGAGCUCCUGCUGCAUGGUGGGGGUUGGAAAGUUUCGGCGGUUGGGGAUGGACUCGCGGGUUAUCAGCUUGUUUGUGGGGUAGUGGCUUACCAAGGCUUUGACGGGUAGCCGGCCUGAGAGGGUGACCGGCCACAUUGGGACUGAGAUACGGACCAGACUCCUACGGGAGGCAGCAGUGGGGAAUAUUGCACAAUGGGCGGAAGCCUGAUGCAGCAACGCCGCGUGCGGGAUGACGGCCUUCGGGUUGUAAACCGCUUUCGCCUGUGACGAAGCGUGAGUGACGGUAAUGGGUAAAGAAGCACCGGCUAACUACGUG